CCUACGGGUGGCAGCAGUGAGGAAUAUUGGUCAAUGGGCGUAAGCCUGAACCAGCCAAGUCGCGUGAGGGAUGAAGGUUCUAUGGAUCGUAAACCUCUUUUAUAAGGGAAUAAAGUGUGGGACGUGUCCUAUUUUGUAUGUACCUUCUGAAUAAGGAUCGGCUAACUCCGUGCCAGCAGCCGCGGUAAUACGGAGGAUCCGAGCGUUAUCCGGAUUUAUUGGGUUUAAAGGGUGCGUAGGCGGCCUGUUAAGGCAGCGGUAAAAUUGAGAGGCUCAACCUCUUCGAGCCGUUGAAACUGGUUGUCUGGAGUGAGUGAGAGGUAUGCGGAAUGCGUGGUGUAGCGGUGAAAUGCAUAGAUAUCACGCAGAACUCCGAUUGCGAAGGCAGCAUACCGGCGCUCAACUGACGCUCAUGCACGAAAGUGUGGGUAUCGAACAGGAUUAGAUACCCGGGUAGUC
rnacentral:rRNA from 1 species